rnacentral:rRNA from 1 species
CCUACGGGCGACAGCAGUGAGGAAUAUUGGUCAAUGGGCGUAGGCCUGAACCAGCCAAGUCGCGUGAGGGAUGAAGGUUCUAUGGAUUGUAAACCUCUUUUAUAAGGGAAUAAAGUGCGUGACGUGUCCCGCUUUGCAUGUACCUUAUGAAUAAGCAUCGGCUAACUCCGUGCCAGCAGCCGCGGUAAUACGGAGGAUCCGAGCGUUAUCCGGAUUUAUUGGGUUUAAAGGGUGCGUAGGCGGGCUUGUAAGUCAGCGGUGAAAUUCUGGGGCUCAACCACAGAAUUGCCGUUGAAACUGGCGGGCUUGAGUAAGUUUGAGGCAGGCGGAAUGCGUGGUGUAGCGGUGAAAUGCUUAGAUAUCACGCAGAACCCCGAUUGCGAAGGCAGCAUGCCAGGCCACGACUGACGCUGAUGCACGAAAGCGUGGGGAUCAAACAGGAUUAGAUACCCUUGUAGUC